rnacentral:misc_RNA from 1 species
GUCGAGCCUUAUUUGCAUGUGUUGGAGUUGGGCUGUGAUGGUGUCUUUGAGUGGGGAGAAUCCGGGGCCGAGGGGAUCCUUCCUAUCUCUCUGCCUUUACCGGGUAAGUGAGCACCACUCUGCUGAAUAAGGGAAGGGGCGGAAAAGCUUAUCCUGUUCAGGGGCAGAGAUGUCAAUAGCUCGACCAUUAGGGAGAGUGGAUUGACUUUUCCAUAGGGGGAGGUCUAUGUCAAUUUAGUAGACCAACGGAAGAGGGGUCAGUCAAAGUGAAAGGUAAAGGUCAGGCUUGCUUUUAGAGCAAGUGGAUCCGUUGUUCGACGAUGCCUAUAUCCCCUAUGAUGAUGGCUUGGCCAAUUGACCCUUGCCUUUGCUUGCCUUAUUCCCGUGGCU